rnacentral:rRNA from 1 species
GAUGAACGCUAGCGGCAGGCCUAACACAUGCAAGUCGUGGGGUAAUCCCGCAGCAAUGCGGGAACGACCGGCGCACGGGUGAGUAAUGCAUAUGCAACCUUCCUCUGACUGGGGGAUAGCUUCCGGAAACGGAAAUUAAUACCGCAUAACAUUCCGACAGGGCAUCCUGAUGGAAUUAAAGCUCCGGCGGUCAGAGAUGGGCAUAUGUGCCAUUAGCUAGUUGGUGAGGUAAUAGCUCACCAAGGCUACGAUGGCUAGGGGGUCUGAGAGGAUGAUCCCCCACACUGGUACUGAGACACGGACCAGACUCCUACGGGAGGCAG